CUCCUCUCUUAGUAAAAUGCUUUGCGUGCUUUACCAGCACUGAAAAGAAAAAUAGUUAUAAUUGUGGAAGGUGGUUUUAAUGGUGGCCAUCAAAAAUAUCUUGGAUGUAGAAGCCAUUGCAGACUUUGCUGAUGGUUGUCUAACUGUCCAUUGUGUGUAUAUAUAUAUAUGUAUAUACACAAACACAUGGAAAAAAGAAUCACAACAGUUAAGCUAUGCCAGCUGAGAUAUUUCACACUGGACAGCUGUAAAUGCGAGAACUAGAAAAGCAUUUGAUUGCAGCUUUUGCCUACCUGAGGAAAAAGAAUUUGAAAAGCUCUUAAGAGCCCAACAGUGAAACUUCUGAAGAAUGAUUAUCUUCCCUCUCCUUUUGGGCCAAGCUGAGAGAAGAAAAGCAAGUAGGAUGCGGGUCCACUGAUAAAGCAAAAGAGAGGAAGAGUCCAGCUACUUCCCCUUAAAAUUACACUGCAGGUUUGACACCAAAGCAAGACCUGAUGCCACAGGGAUCAUCAGAAUCUAGUAAACAGAAAUAUCUAAGAAGAGCAGAUGCACAUUGUGUCUUCUAGGCAUCCUCUCAGUGGCAUGGUUGAAAUCCAGAUUCUGAUCACACAAGAUUCAGCCCAGAAGGGGAACUGCAUCCUGGGUUGCGUACCAGAAGGUCAAGGGAGGUGAUUCUGCUCCUCUACUCUGCUUUCAUGAGACUCCACCUGGACUACUGCGUCAAGUUCUGGAGCCUCCAAUGUAAGAAGGACAUUGAGCUGUUGGAGCAGGUCCAGAGGAGGGAUACAAAUAUGAUCAGAAGGCUGGAGCACCUCCCCUGCAAGAACAGGCUGAGAGAGCUGGGGGUCUUCAGCCUGGAGAAGAGAAGGCUCCAUGCAGACCUUUUAGCAGCCUUCCAGUACCUGAAAGGGGCUUACAGGAAAGCUGGGGAGGAACUGUUUAUAAGAACAGGUAGCAACAGAAAAAGAGGAAAUGGUUUGAAACUGGAAGAGGUUAGAUUUAUAAAUAGAUAUCAGGAAGAAAUUAUUUACUGUGAGGAUGGUGAGACACUGGAACAAGUUGCCCAGGAGGUUGUGAAUGCCCCCUCCCUGGAAGCAUUCAAGGCCAGGCUGGAUGGGGCUUUGAGCAACCUGGUCUAGUGGGAGGUAUCCAUGCCUAUAGCAGGUGGGUUGGAACUAGAUGAUCUUAAAGGUCCCUUCCAACCCAAACCAUUCUAUGAUUCCAUGAUUCUAACAAAGAAAGGAAUAUAUUUUCUUUCAUCAUCCUUCUUGCUCUUUUUUUCUCUUUUGAACUAGAUUCCCAAUGUAGGCCAGAGGAAACUUUAUUUAUAUCCCUGCAAUUCAAGGCCCACAAACCAAUUCAUCAUGUUCCUGUUUUAUCUCAUCUGCUGUAAAG
ensembl:lncRNA